AAAUUGUGAGAGUCAUAAGCCGGGACAAGUUUGGUGCUACCUCUUUCUGUUUCUUUGUUGUUGACGAGUAAUGGAUAGUUUUUGAAUAUUGAGAAGUUAGUCUGGAGUGCCAGACUGUGAGAGUCAUAAUUCUAAGUAAUAAAUUGAGAAACUGAAUACAAUAGGUAAGUUGGAGAUCAGUAAUUGAAUACAUCUAAACCACAAAGAGAGUAAGUGAGAGAUGAAUGGAUAAGAAUAUGAAAGUAUUGUUGAAUUGAUAAUUGUAGAAUGGAUUAUGAAUUGAAUUAAGAUGGAAGUAGUAAACCUUAAUGUUUUAUAGUUUGAUAAUUGAUUUCAGAUAGCCAGAGUACAAUCAAUUGUGAUACUAACAGACCUAAUUCAUAUUACUAGUCUUUUCCCGUAUUCGAACCCACUUCUAUUAGUUCAAUUGCUUUAGUAUAUUGAAGCUUGAACACAAUGAGAAUAAAAUUUUGGCACCACUGCCAGAAAAAUGAUAACAAUAUAAAAUGUUAGAAAUUGAUUGUAUAAGAGAUGGAAUUAUAUAUUGAAUGAGAAGGUGAGAAGAACAAGUUUUAGAGUUAUAAAUAUAUGAGUUAUAAUUCAAGGCAGUAUUGAUUUUGUAAAGAAGAAUGAAAGAUUAUGAGUGAUAAUCAUGAAGGAAAGGAUUAUGAAAGAAUUAAUCGACAAGCAAAAGAAAGACAGGAGCAAUUACGCACAAGAAAUCUCCUAUAGGAACGACAAAAAAGAAUUGUAGGUCCAAGUAAAAUUAAAGGAAGAAAAAUUCAAAUUCAAAUAGCAAAGAGACUAGUAAUAAUACCAAUGGCCACGGGAAUGCCAAAAGUAUCAAUUGUACUAUAAAUGGGAGCAGUAGGAAAUUGAACUACAAAAAUGGCACUAUUAUCUACUUUUAGUGGUUAAUCAGGCUCUGAUCCCGAUCACCAUAUAUCUCAAUUCUUGAUAGCUUGCAUGGCUAAUAAUGGUAGAAUUGAAGAUAUUUGAUUAAAAUAGUUGUGAAUAAUUUUAAAAGAUAUAGCUUUUGAAUGGUAUAUUCGACAACCAGUGGGUAGAUUUUCCAAUUGAGAGGCCUUGAGGAAUGCCUUCCUAAUCCAUUUUAGACCAAUUGGAUUUAAAGAUUGGCUUAGAGAAAAUUUUAUGAAUAGCAGGAUGUUUACGGAGGAAUCCGUAGAGUCCUAUUAUGGCCGUGUCGCAGAUAUACCUCGUAAAUGGGCAAAUAAUCAAAUGUCAGAUGCGUUUAUAUUGUCGAUAUUAAUUAACGAUUUGCAUCCAUCAGAAUUGAAAAUGUUUAUAAAAGAGGCUCGACCAGCUACGGUAGAGGCAUCGUUGGCAUGAACAAAGGUGUGGAAAGAAUAUCAUUAGGACCAAUUGUUAACAAUGGGGGCUACGAUGAUUCCAAGUUCAGGAAGCCAACAAAUACAAUUGAGAAAUGUGUCGAUGGAUAAUUAUUCACAAAUAGCUGACUCCAAUGUGAAGAAUGUUAUGUUGCAACAACCAAUUAAUGCUACACCAUUCUAAGCAAUAGCGCCAAUAACAAUGACACCUUAUUUUAUAUUGCUAACAUAUCAACAACCAGAAUAGGGCACAAAUGCAACUGUUAAAGAUCCAAAUGAAGCCUUGUUAUUAAAUCUACCAAAGAAGAUGGAAGAAUUGGUCGUGAAUUUGGGUAAAGACAAGGAGAAACGACAUAAGUCUUCUAAUACGAGACCUAAUGUAUGAUGUAAUAAUUGUAAGGGACAAGGUCAUUUUGAUACAGAAUAUCCAUCAUCCAAACAAACGGGUGUUCAAUGUACAUUUUGUGGAAGAAAGCACCCCACUCAAAACUACUGGUAUUUACAAAGGCAACAAUAAUUCAGUAAUCAGACCAUGAUCCCACUGACUCAAUGGGAAGUCAAUCAAAUUCAAAUGAAAAAUACGUAUGGAUGGAAUGGAAAUCGAUCUAAUUGACAAAAUCAAACAUUCAACAACUUUCAAAGUCCAAUUUUAAUCAAGGGUUUGUAUCAAACCCCCAGAACUAUAGGAAAGAGCAGCAGAGGUAUCAGCAAUAUGCUCCAUUGGCGUCAUCGAACCAAGAACCCUCCGUACCAAUAGAACAACCAGGAUCAUUUUUUAACCCUAUAUCGAAUAAGCCUAGUAGGUAUAUACCAGUAGAGACACCCAAUAUGCCAGAUGGAGGUGCAAGAAGACUACUUUGUUGUUCCCGUUGUCGUCAUACGUGAAGUCUUGCUUAAGAAUGCUCCGGGUACUUGGGUGUGGAAGGAAGAAUGGAAAUUGCAAUAACAAAAUCCUAAUUCUAAUAGAAUACUAAAAAUUCUCUAAUUAGACCAUAAUAAUGCUAAGCAAGCUUAAUCAAUAUCAAAAAAUCUCAAAGAAAUUUCAAAUAAAUAAUAAAUUUUUUUAAAGAAAUAUUAAAACGAUCACAAAUAUUACUCAAAUAUAUCUCAAUUCAAUCUUAAUUUAAUUCUAGUUAAAAUCCUAUUGAACUUCAUUCAAAAUUUAGGCCAAAACUAAUUGAAUCUUAAAUCCUAAUAAAAUCCUAAAUCCUAAAUCAAACCCUAAAAAAAUCUUAAACCAAAUUCCAACCAGAUCCUAAAUCCUAAAUCAAAUCUUAAUUUAAAUCCUAAAUCCUAAAUAAAAUCCUAACCAAAACCUAAUCCAAAUCCUAAUCCGAACUCUAAAUCCUAAACCAAACCCUAAAUCCUAAACCAAACUCUAACAAAAUCCUAAACCAAAUCCUAAAUCCUAAAUCAAACCCUAACCAAACCUUAAAUCCUAAAUAAAAUCCUAACCAAAUCCUAAACCAAAUCCUAAUCCAAACCCUAAAUCCUAAACCAAAUCCUAAACUCUAAAUCAAAUCCUAAUUCAAACCUUAAUCAAAUCCUAAACCAAACCCUAAUCAAACCCUAAUAAUUCCUACAACAGAUUUAAACCACAAUAACUAAUGAAUAAACCGUUGAUCUUAACUCAAAUUUUGCAUACUUCUUAAAAAAUAAGUUAAAAAUAAGCAAAAAAAUAUUAAAAAAGAUCGAAAUUAUCAAAUUGACGAUAACCUCAAAAAUGUGCUUGGGUAUUGGUCGGCCUCCUUCUCCAAACUUGAUGCCAAUCUUUCAAAGCUAAUAUCUCUCUUAUUCAUUGUUCGAUUGAUCUCAAAAUUCUCAUACACAUAGAAAAACAAGUUUAAUAUCCUCUCACAUAAGUUUUACUCCAAUCCAAUUACUAGAUUGCAAGAAAUUUUAAAAAUCCUCAUUGGACAUAAAAUUCUACUUUUUGAGACCUUGAUCCACUUAAACCUCAAUAUUCCUCAAUUCAACCGUUAGAUCAAGCUCAAAUUCACAAUACAUAUUAAAUACAAUUGUAACCAUAAACUCACAAAUUUUCAUCUGUAGAUCUACUACAAAACUCUUGAAAUCAUCCAAAACAUAAACCCUAUUUUAUUUCUUAAAAUCCAAGUCAUCCAAAACAAACCUUGACUUUGCAAAGCUCUUACAAAGUCAUAACAACUCCAAAUCACCCAAAAUCAAUACCUAUAGAAACCUUAUUCAAUCUAUUAUCAAACCCUAUUCUCUGAUAUGCCAAAGAGUCCCACAGUCGUCGUCAAGACUUGGUUUUGUGCCUCAGGGUCUGAUUUCGAUCCUGGUUCAUAAUUGACCCUCUCCAGGUAUCAACAUCUAGUUUUUUUUAGUAAUUUUUACUUGAAUUUACUCUUAGCUUUCUCCUAAAGAUGUUUAUAUCAUUUAUUUUUCCAAUCUACCUUAUUUUGCCUUAUUUUUGGCCCUACAAAGUAAGUAGAAGCUAUUUUUUCUAAAAGACCUGAAUUGGUUGUGCACCUCAAUGAGGUACCAAUUACGGAGGCUUCGGUUCCAUGUCAAGCUGUUCCAUUCUCUACACAGUUUUGAGAACUGUACUUUCCAUUGAAAGAUCUUCUAAGAUGCAUGAAUUCCAAGGAACCAAUAUCAGCCCAAUUGGGAGAACAAUCUUAUCCGUUGAAAGAACCAAUUUUACAAGCUUCGUCAAAUUCAGUUCCAAUAGCUUUACCAAUUUCUAAUAUAGUGAAAAUCAAUUUACCUUCAUCGAUGUCUAAGACUCGAAAGAAAAAAUAGACAUUGAGAAUUACCACUAAUACAGAACCAUAUGAUAUUCUAAAAGAUUUUGGCACCAUAUAGCCUACAAUCUUUAUGAAAGAACUAUUGGCGAUAACACUUGAGUGCCAAAAUAUCUUGAAUUCCUCAUUAAUUUGUCACAGAUCUUGAAAUAAAGAAAUCUAAGAAGUAAGUUUGAAUCUCGAUCUAGGUGCAUCAAGGAUUGAUGUUUCAAUUGAUGGAGUGUUAUUAUCGAGAGUGCAAGUAGACGGAGGAUUUAGUAUAAAUCUUAUGAAUGCUGCUACAAUAGAGGAGUUAGGUUUGGAUCAGUUAUUGCCUAUUACAGUAGUUUUGAGAAUGACUGACUCCAGUCGAGUUAAACCUAUGGAUAUUUUACAAAGUAUUGAUAUAGUAAUUGUGGAGAUUACUUACAAAAUUGAUUAUAUUGUUUUUUAAUUGCGAAUGCUCUAUAUUGUCAUAUCCAAUUUUAUUGUAGUGAUCAUGGUUGUAUGAAGCUAAAGCUUGAAAUGACUGGGACCAUGGUAUAUUGACAAUUGGAAAAGGUAAUGAUAAAAUUGAGCUUCAAAUGUACCUUUUCCAAUAUCACGGAAAAAUUCAAGUUGCCAGUUCAUGUCGGAUUGUGAAGAUGAAUCUAGAGAAGAAGAAAUUGGUGCAUCUGACCCAAUUUAUGCUAAUACAAGGCAAGUUUUUGAACACACUAGAAUGAAACACCAGGUGUAGGGGACCGAGAGAGUACUUAGAUCCUCCAGAUGUUAUUGACGAUUCUGAUCAUAUGACUACAUAUUGGAUGAAUAGAUAGGAUAUUGAUCGCGUUAAUGCUGUAGAACUGGAUUUAGAAAGUUUUUAUUUUUUGAAUUUUAUGAAAGAUUCUAGAAUUGAGCAAAACAUUAUUUCAAAGACUCUUGAAAUUCCAUGAUGUUAAUAAAUUAAUUUAGGUACAGGAGAGGCUCCCCAAAUCAUUCAGAUUUAUAAUGGUAUAAAAGACAAGGAGAAAGAAAUUUAGAUGGAUUACUUUUUAACGUUGUCAUAUUACAUGCUAUCUUGCUUGAGAACGCACCUGGCAUCUGGGUGUGGAAGAUAAAACAAUGUUUUGCAAGUAUCCAGGUAGGCUAGUAGGUUUCAACCAUCUAAAUAUAAAUUAUUUUGAAUUUCAAUAUAAAAGCUUAAUUCCAAUAUAAAGUACUUAGAAACACUAUUUUUAAUAACUUCAAGAUAUUAUAAGCACAAAAUCUUUGGUUAUUUUUUAGUUUUAUUUUUUAUUUUUUAUUUUUUAUUUUUUUUAUUUUUUUACCCUAACCCUAGACAACGAGCUUCGGCAAGCUGUAAUUCUCAAUCUAACCAUCUAAUUGUUGUAAACUUCUACCACUAGUGUCUUUGCAAGCCUUCUAAAUGCUUAAGAAGUUUCAAUCCAAUCAAACUUACGGAUUGCAAGAAAAUGCCAUAAAUCCACACUGAUGUAUCUUGACCGCCGCCUAAAAGUCUUCGACUUACCAUGCCAAAAGUCACCUUAUUCCAGCUGGUAGAUCUUCAGAUAUUAUAGAAACCCUAAACAACUCCAAUCUACUAACUUCUGAUACCUCUUUACACUCAUGGUCAAAUAUCCUCUAUUUGUUUUGUCAGAUUAACACAAACUUUUACAUGCACUUGCCAUACUCAACCCUCUAGACACCUCUACAUUUCAACCAUAGAAGUUUCUCCAAUUUCACAAAAUAGUCAAGAAUACCAACCUUAUCUUUAUUGCAAAAAAAAUUCAAAUCACCAAUACAAACACUAACUUUCAGCAACGAUUGCAAAAGUCCUCCCAAAUCCUAUGAAAUUCAAUUCUACACCUUUCGAAGGAGCUUGAAGCUAGCUCUGUGACCCCAAAAUUCCAAUCUCCGAAUGUCCUCUUGAUUUUCUUCUCCUUUCCUUUAACUCCGUGAGAUUUUCUAUUCUUCUGCUUUGGACUCCGAAUUGGAAUAAUAGACCCGCCUCCAUGGAAUUCUUGCCUUUAAAAAGAUCUUUCCACGGAAAGAACAUUUUCUCAAAAUGAUAUAGAGAAUGGAACAGCUUGAAAUAGAACCGAAGCCUCUGUAUUUUGGGACCCCAUUGGAUUGCCUAAUGGAGUCAGGUCUCAUACUGAAUAAGAGGCCCAUAAUAGGACCUGAAUUGGAUGUCCUUGUAAUUGGAUCAAAUUGGCCCUUUACAACAGACUCAUCCGAAUAUUGAAUUGGUCCUUUCUCUUUUUGUCAACUCCUGGUAAGAACGGCUCGGACUCAUUCCACUCAAUUUACUGGAGAAUCUUGAGGACCUCGAUUUAUCCCUUCAAUUUUUUUCUAGCUUUGGAUCUGCUGAUCUCAAUUAUUGAAAUUGAAUAGAGCAUUACAUUGCUGAUAAGUAUGCCCUGACUGCUUGCUAUUCCAAUACACUAGCGCAUAAUUAUCACUGACUCUAGGAUUGGAACAUUCACUAGCACAAUCACCAAUCUGUCUGCAAUGGAAACAACAAAGUGGUCUUUUUGUACCUCCAUCACGUAUAUUGGAUGUCUCCACCGAUAUAUAUCUACUAGGCUUGUUCCAUAUAGGGUUAGAAUAUGAUCCUGGUCGUCCCGUUGGUACGGAGGGUACCUAGUUCGAUGACGCCGGUGGAGCAUGCGUUGUUGUCAUGUUUGGUGGUACAGCUUGAAAUGGCGUGGCAUUAACUGGCUCCUCAAUAUUGGCAUUGGAAUUGGCCACUGUUUCUAACAUCCAAGAUGACUAAAUAUUAAUAAAUCUUUUCUAUUUAUAUUUUCACCAUAUAGUCGUAUUACAACACGACAUCCACCCCUUAAGAACCUGUGCAUCCUCUCGUAUGCACCAAAUAAUCUAAUUGUUGUUUGAUUUAUAAUAUGUUCUCCAAGUCUUUGUCCAAAUCCUCUUCAUCACCUUUGUUAUCCAAGUCAAUUUCAUCUUCUUGUUGAAGAAUAUUUAUGUCUUCUCCAAGGUCAUCUAUAUUUAUUUCUGUGUAUAUCUUUGUUUAAAUAUUUUAACUCGCUUCCCUGCAAUUGGUAUUUUUAACCUUGUUCCAUCUAACUCCCGCAAUGAGUAAGUUGUAUUAUCAUGAACAAUUGUAACCACAUACGAUGUCAUGAUGUAAUAUAGAUAAUAAAUAAAAGGGUGAAGAAAAUAUCAUGUUUUGAGGAUCUCACUUCAAAAAUAUUGUAGCAAAUUAUCUUGGAAAAAUAGAUAUUAGUCAAAGGGUAGAAAAAUUAAAGGUGCUAAUACUACCUAUUUGCAAAUUAUGCUUCUAUUUACUUUAUAAGGCCAUAACUAAGGCAAACAAGGUAGAUUAGAAAAAUAAAGGAUAUAGGCAUAUGUAAGGAGGAGUUAGGAGUGCAAAUUAGUAAAAAUUACCUCAAGAAGAUGAAUAUUGAUACCCAGAGAGGGCCGGUUAUGAACCAGGAUCGAAAUCAGACCCUGAGGCACAAAACUGAGUCUCAACAAUGAUUCCGGGACUCUUUGGCAAAUCGGAGAGUAGGAUUUGAUAGAAGAUUGGAUAAGGUUUGUAUGGGUGUUGGUUUUGGGUGAUUCGGAUCUGUAUUGACUUUGUAAUAGCUUUGCAAAGUCAAGGUUUGUUUCAAAUGACUUGGAUUUUAUGAAAUAAAAUAGGAUUUACGUUUUGGGUGAUUUCAAGAGUUUUGUAAUAGAUCUACGGGUGAAAUUUUGUGGGUUUAUGGUUAUAGUUGUGUUUAAUAUGUGUUAUGAACAUGAGCUUGAUCUAACGGUUGAAUUGAGGGAUAUUGAAGUAUAAGUGGAUCAAGGUCUCAGAAAGUAGAAUUUUAGGUCCAAUGGAGGUUUUUGAGAUUUCUUGUAAUAUAUUGGUUGAAUUGGAGUAAAACUUAUGUAAGACGAUAUAAAACUUGUUUUUCUAUGUGUAUGAGAAUUUUGAGAUCAAUUCAAAAGGUGUAAAAGAGAGAUAUUGGCUCUGGAAGAUUGGCAUUAAGAUAGGAGAAGGAGGCCAGCCAAUAUUCGAGCACAUUUUUGAGGAUAUCGUCAAUUUGGUAACUUCGAUCCUUAUCAAAUUUUUUGUACUUAUUUUUAAGUUAUUUUUUUAGAAUUUUUCAAAAUUUUAGUUAAGAUCAACGGUUUAUUCAUUAGUUAUUGAGGUUUACAUAUGUUAUAGGAAUUAUUAGGGUUUGAUUUAGAGUUUGGUUAGGAUUUGGUUUAGGAUUUAGGGUUUGGAUUAGGAUUUGGUUCAGGAUUUAGGAUUUGGAUUAAGGUUUGAUUAGGAAUUAAGAUUUGAUUAGGAUUUGAUUUAGGAUUUAGGGUUUGAUUUAGGAUUUAGGAUUUGGAUUAAGAUUUGAAUUAAGGUUUGGUUUAAGGUUUAGGAUUUGGGUUAGGAUUUAGUUAGGGUUUGAUUUAGGGUUUAGGAUUUGCUUUAGGAUUUGGUUAGGAUUUGGUUUAGGAUUUGGUUGGGAUUUGAUUUAGGAUUUAGGAUUUUAUUAGGAUUUAAGAUUCAAUUAGUUUUGGCCUAAAGUUUGAAUGAAGUUCAAUAGGAUUUUAACUAAAAUUAAAUUAAGAUUGAAUUGAGAUGUAUUUGAAUGACAUUUUUGUUCUUUCUAAUGUUUCUUUAAAAAUUCCUAUUGUUUGUUUGAAAUUUCUUUGAGGUUUUUUUGAAUUUGAUUAAGCUUGCUUAAUAUUAUUACGGUCUAAUUAGACCAUUAUUAGUAUUCUAUUAGAAUUAGGAUUUUUUUAUUACAAUUUCCAUUCUUCCUUCCACAGCUAGGUGCCUGAAGCAUUUUCAAGCAAGACUUCACGUAUUACGACAACGGUCCAAACCAUCGCUUAGAGAACUUCUUUAAAGUACUAUGUUGAUUUUUCAAGCUACUAUCAUAAACCAAAAUCCAAUCACCUUCUUCAAUUGCUUUAGGCCUCAAUCAAUGUUGCUUAUUAAAUCGUGCCUUGUUUUGUAACCUCGCUCUUUUUAACCUUUCUAAUGCUAUUUGUACAUCUUCUCGUCUUUGCUUUAAUUGUUGAAUUCUAAUAGCUAAAAGUUCUUCUCUUGUCAAUCCAUCUUUCCAUGGUAGCACACUCCAAGUAAAUACUUUUUUUUCAAUUGGCAUAAUUGAUUUUUGACCUGUUAUAAGCUCAAUAGGCAUAUAUCCCAUUAUUAAGCUAUGAGUUGUUUGAUCAGCCUAUAAUGCAAAUGAUAAAGGUCAUGGCCAUUCUCUAACCUUUCCAUUACAAGCUUUAAUUAAUGCUUUUACAAUUGAUGGGUGACCACGCUCACUUAUUGCAUUUCCUUCAAGAUUAGAAGCAAUAGUCAGUGAUAGUUUAAUUCCACAUCUUUCAAAGAAUUCAUGAGCUUCUUGUGCAUUUAAUUCUCCACAAUCUGCAGUGAUUUUUUCUACACAUCUGUAGCGGCAAAUAACAUCUUCAAGCAAAAAUCUAUAAAUUCCUUCUGUAGAUUUUGAUCUCAAUUCUCUUCUUUCUACUUGAUUUGAUAAAUCUUCAUGAGCUAAGACCAAAUAUCUCAUUUUCCAUAACCCGAUUGGCAUAAUAAUCAAAUCAACAACCCAUUUAAAAUGAAUAGCUAGAGGAUAUGUAGGAUGAAGACCAUCUCGAUGUCGUAUAUUAGAAUACGUUUGACAAAUUUUACAUGAUCCUACAAAUAAGAGCACAUCUCGAUACUUAUUUUUCUACCAAUAUCGUUUCUUAAGCUUAGCAAAAGUAGCCCAAAUUCCUCGAGGUCCCAUCCAUAAACUAUCAUGAAACUCUUUUAAUAAUUUUUGUUUCUCUUCCUUAUUGCCUAUCACUCCUUGUGGCAUUCUAAUUCUUUUCUUUAGUCUCUUCCAUAAGAAUCUUUUUUAAAGAAAAAAUCCAUAUGUUUUUUUUUUUUUAUUUGUUUAAAUUUUUUGUAGACCAAUUUUCUUGUUUAGUCAAGGUGUUCAAGUAAUGACCAAUAUCCAAUAAUUCUCUUUCAUAAAAUUCUUCAAGAAAUAGCUUGUCUUCUUGGUUAAGAUUUGAUACUCAAUAGAAUUUUGAUCCAACAUCAUCAAUGUCUUCAACCAUUUCAUCUUCUCUUUUAUAUCUUGCUCUAGAUAGCAUAUCCGCUACUGAAUUGUAUUUUUUAACAACAUGCUUAAAUUCUGGAUUUAAUGACUUAAUAUAAGCAAUUCAUCUUAACAUUGCAAUAUCUGGCAUUGAACAAUUAGUAAUCAUUCCAAGUAAUGGCAAGCAAUCUAUUUCAAUUACUACUACUGCAACAAUCAAAUAAUCCCUUUCAACUUUCAUAACCAAAACAACUCCCCAAAGUUCUCUUUUGACUUGCAAAUAUGCACAUUGACGAGUACUUAAAACUUUAGCUCCAAAUCAAACUGCAAAUCUAUUUCCUUUUAAAUCAUCUUGAUCCACAGCCCAUCGAAUAGCAAUAGGACUAGUAUCCACAGUAAGAAUUACUUGUCUAUUACAGACAUAAUCAAUUUUUCUUAAAAUUCGAGGUGUCACCAAUAACACCUUUAGCUUCUGUAUUGCUUCAGUAUGCUUUCUUUUCCAUUUAAAUCAAUAAUCCUUAUAUAAUAAUUCAUAUAAUAGAUCUGCUACAUGAGCAUAAUGAGGAAUCCAUAUAUGAUAAAAUACAUAGGCUCCUAAAAACUUGCAUACUUUUGUUAAAGAGUCACAUGAAUCCUUUAUCCUUCCAAUUGCAUCAACUUUGCUUGGAUCUAGCUUUCUUCCAUAAAAUCCACACAAAUGUCCAACAAUAAGAACUUCCGUCAUUCCAAAUGUAAAUUUUGCUCCUGAAAGUGUAAGAUGAACCUCUUCAAGUUGAGUUAAAAUCUUUUCACAAUCUUGUAUAUAAUCAACAACAUAUUUGCGAUACCCCCUCUCAUCUAAAGUUUCAUCUUUUUCUCCUUUUUUACAUCCUUUGAUAGGAACAUCAUCUAAAAAAGGCAUAGUUUUUUCAAGAAUGAAGUUUCUUAGUACCUUGUUCAUCUCAUUCAUCAUAUGUGAAACUGAGUUAGUAGCACCUUGUGAAAGAGUACAAAUUUUAAGCAAUCCAAGUGGCAUUCUCAUUGUUGUUAGAUCUCUACUCCCAUGCACAAGUUGAAAUUUAUCAUAACCCAAAUAUAAAUCAUCUAUUGAAUAAAUUAUCCUUCCCGCAAAUACUUCUACAAACUCGUCUAUUAAAGGUCCUAUACCUACAUUUCUUAUAGUUACUGCAUUCAUUGGUUGCAUAUUUUGAAUAAAACGUAACAAUUUAUUUUUCUUAGGCACUAAAAACCAACGACUAGAAUAUGGAGCAAAAGAAGGCUCCAAAAUUUUCAUUUGUAUCUUUUCUUUCAAUAAUUCUACCAAUUUAGAUAAAUAUGCCCUCGAUACGAGAAUCGGCCUUAAGUUCCAAGGCACAUGAGGUACUCUAAAGAUAACCAUAGGAGCAACAACAUUAGGAUCUAUGCAUCUUAUUUCACAAGACCUAGAGGCAAAUUAUUUACCUCGUUUCGCAAGCAUUUUUUUAAAAUAUUUAAUUUCUGUUGGAAAUAAAGAACCAUCACAUCUAAUCUUCAAUUCUUUAAAAGUCUCCUUUGUAAACUGAUGUCCAAUCUUCUUUGGAUCUCUUAAAUUUUCUUCUUUUAAUGCUUCUUCUAUUUAUUCCUUAGAAUCUUCUAGUAAAGGUGUGGCAACAGGUUUUAUUUUUUUAUCUACUGUUUUAUAUUUUGUGUCUAUAAUAACUUCUGGUGCUUGAAAAGAUUCAAGUAUAGAAUAAACCUCCCUUGAAUGAAUUUCCACAAUCUUAUCAUUAUCCCCUAAUCCAAUAGAUGCAAUUAAUUCUAAAGAAUCAUCAAAUCCAUUUUCUUCAUAAACACCUAAAAUCUUCUCAUCAUCUUCUAAUGUCCCUAACUUAUAUAAUUUCCUUUCAAUACUAUAUAAUCUUUUUUUUUCUUUUCUUUUAAAAUCAUCAACUUUCUUAUACAUAAUAUUUUUAUUCUCAAAAAUAUCAAUAAAAAUUACAUCAAAGGCACCUUCAUCUCGCGAGAGUACUUCCUCUUUUGUACCUCCAUAAUCUCGCUUUAUAGUGGUACUUCUCCAAAAUCCUUAAAUCCUUCAAUAACCCUUAACAAUGGUUUCUCCCUCAACCUAUCUCGAUUCCAUUCAUGAUUAGGAGAUACUAUUAGAAAUUACACAGCUUUCCUUCUAUCUUGACUAUGUAUCCUUGUAUAAGCAGAACCAUCGUCAAGUACUUUUAUUUCCAUCUGUGUUGCCGUAAUGUACGGUUGUCCUAAAAUCAAUGGAUAAGACAUUGUAUCUUGAACAAAGAAAUGUUGUCUGUCGCAACAUCUCCAAUCCAAAUUUUGAUAUCUUGACAAGUUUCAUAUAAUUCGCCUCGCACGUUAUUAGCUGCUCAUAUUGUCCAUCCAUGUUCCAUAUCAAUUGGCCAUUUUUGCUUCUUAUAAAGAUCCUUAGACAUGAGAUUUAUUUCAGAACCAUGGUCGACUAAAGCAAAAAUUGGUUCUUCUACAUCUCCUACUUUCACCAAUACCUCAAUAGUUGUCCUUGUCCAAUGUUUCCGAAUAUAAUGGCUUGAAGCUUCCAUUUCCUUAUCACUAUAAUCUUCGAAACGUACUCGUUGAUUAUAUCUAUUCUUUUUAUUUGUUGAUUGAUUGUAACCAUUAUCAACCUCUUCUUCAUCUUUAUAUAAUCUUGCAUCAAAAGCAUGACUCAUUCCAGCUUCAUCCAUUAAUUACUUCUUUUGCUUAAUGCUGUCAAUGAUAACACCAUGAAACUCCUUCUUUACAAUUUCCAAAAUUUCUUUCAAUGCAAAUUCCACCUUAGCAUUUAAUAUAUGUUCUUCCAAUAACUCUUUUAAAUUUGUUGUUACUUAAAUAUCACAAAGUAGCUUAUAAGCAAUUGAUUUAUCUUUUUCUUUUAUCUUGUUUAUUUUUUCUUCCAAUGAUGUUGAAGUAUCCUUUAUAGGCAAUUCUCAUGAAGCUGCCUCACGAGCCUUGUCUCCUCGAGUUUGCCUCUUAGAAGAAUUUCUUUCUCUUGUAUCAUCAAAAUUUCCUCGUCUCUUUUCUUCCAUCAAAGCUUCAUGUUGGCUCUUAGCAAUAUAUGCAUGAAUUGAAAGAGACUCAACAGGAUCGUCCCAACCUGUUGCACCUCGUAUUGUAGCUGCAGUCCUCAAUAAUGCUUUCCGAGGUAUUUUUCUCUUUUGCAUUGUAGAAAUGGCAGAAGCCCAAAAUUCACUAGUUUCUAUACUUCCACCAAAGUCAUCAUCUACUCUAGCACCAUAACUUGCAUUCUCUCGUGUUGCUAUUCCAUGUUCUAUUAAAUAAUCUUGAAUCAAUGCUCUCAUACUUCUUUUGCUAAAAUUGGUUUGAAAGAGAUCCUUUAUAUCCUUUGAUACAAUCUUUCCAUCUUUCCAACAAAUAACUCCUUGCUACACCAUAUUAUUAAAUUCAUUGCAAUCCUUCCUAGUAUGUGAAAUGUCAUCAUACCAGAUACAUCUUUGUAUAUACCCUUGAUUUAAAACAUUCUUCAAAUUGUUUGUAGAAGUAUUUUCUUCAAGUCUUGCCAAUUUGAUUUGAAGAACUUGCAUUCUACGUAUAAUUUCUUCAAUUCCCAUCUCUCCUUUCUUUCAUAAAGAUGUCGAAAGUUGAACAGUAGGCGUUGUCGGUUGUGUUGUAUGUACUGGAUUUUUAGAUGCUUGUACAGCUUUUGCAAUAUUACUCCUAUCUUUCUUCUUUUUUCUUUUUGCAAGUAAAUCCACCGCAUUUUCAAUAUUUUUCCACUUUAUUGUCAAUCCUUCAUCUUCUUCUUUGUCUUCAAGAAGCAAUUCUAAUUUUCCUUGUAAUUCUCUAUCAGCAACUUGAAGAAAUAAUUCAACCUUAUUUGGCUCUAAUGUUAAUUUUUCUACCUUCGAUAAUUGAAAAUACUGCCUCUCAAAUUCCCUUAGUAGCUCUAUUGAUUGUAAAUUCUUAUUAGGCCGCUCAAUCCAUUCUAGAAAUAAUUUUUUAGUAACUUGAUCAGUGUCCUCCAAGAAAUAUUUGCUUUUAAUUCAUGUGAAAAAAUCUCCCAUGGAUUAAGCUUUUACAUUGAAAUCCGAAAUAGUUUGUAUUUAGAUGGUUGAAAUCUACUAGCCUACCUGGAUACUUGCAAACAUUGUUUUAUCUUCCACAACCAGACGUCCGGUGCGUUCUCAAGCAAGAUAGCACUUAAUACAAUAUAAGUGGUGAACUCGAUGUAAAACGCUUGAGGUGGGAGGUAUUGGGAUUUGUUUAUUUUUAUUUUUAUUUUAUAGAGAAUGAGAAUAAAAAUUUUGAAGGAGCUUGAAGUGGAGCUUCUUCUAAAAGAUAAAGUCUGUACAUGGAUCCAUCCUUUACUAGUAUGUUUCAAGCCUUAUCAUUAUCUAUGCAGCAAUAGCAAAGCAAUGAUCGCAAAGAAGCUUUAGCAACCAAAGCUUUGCAAGCAAUGUUCAAUAAAAUUGACCAAUUUGAUGGAAAGGAUAUUUCAAAGUAUUUAAGAUAUUGUGUUUGAGAAAUGGAAUUAAAUCGGAUUUCUGAGAAGAAGAUGGUUGAAUUAUUUAGACUAGCCAUGAUACCAAAGAUAAGAGAGCAUAUUACCUCAAUUAUAGAGCAUAUUACCUCAAUUAUAGGUUUUGUGCCUCGGGGUCUGAUUUCGACCCAAGUUCAUAUUCGGUCCUCUUCGGAUAUCAACUUUCUUCUUUUUGAGGUAAUUUUUACUAAUUUGCACUCCUAACUCCUCCUUACAUAUGCCUAUAUUUUUUAUUUUUUUUUUCUAAUCUACCUUUUUUUGUCUUAUUUAUGGCCUUACAAAGUAAAUAGAAGCAUAAUUUAUAAAAACACAGCAUUAGCACCUUUAAUUUUUCUACCCUUUGACUAAUAUCUAUUUUUCCAAGAUAAUUUGCUAUAAUAUUUUUGAAGUGAAAUCCUCAAAACAUGAUAUUUUCUUCACCCUUUCACUUGUUAGCUAUGUUACAUCACGACACCGCCGCCUAGAAGUCCUCGACUUACCAUACCAAAAGUCACCUUUUUCUAGCCAAUAGAUCUCCAGAUAUUAUAGAAAUCCUAAACAAUUUCAAUUUGCUAACUUUCGAUAUCUCUUUACACUCAUGGUCAAAUAUCCUCUAUCUGUUCCAUUAGAUUAACACAAACUUUUGCAUGCACUCGCCAUACUCAACCCUCUAGACACUUCUAAAUUUCAACCAUAGAAGUUUCUCCAAUUUCACAAAAUAGUCAAGAGUACUAGCCAUAUCUUUAUUGCAAAAAAAAUCCAAAUCACCAAUACAAACACUGACUUUCAGCAACGAUUGCAAAAGUCCUCCCAAAUCCUAUGAAAUCCAAUUCUACACCUUUCGAAGGAGCUUGAAGCUAGCUCUCUGACUCCAAAAUUCCAAUCUCCAAAUGCCCUCUUUCUUUUCCUCUCAUUUUCUUUAAUUCCGUGAGGUCCCCUAUUCUUCCGCCCUAGAUUCCGAAUUGGAACAACAAACCUACCUCCAUGGAAUUUUCAUCUCUAAAAGGAUCUUUCCACGGAAAGGAUGUUUUCUCAAAAUGACAUAGAGAACGGAAUAGCUUGAAAUAGAACCGAAGCCUCUGUAUUUGGGACCCCAUUGGAUUGGCCAACGGAGUCAGGUCUCAUACUGGAUAAAAGGCCCAUAAUAGGACCUAGAUUGGAUGUCCUCGUAAUUGGAUCAAAUUCGCCCUUCACAUCAGACUCACCCGAAUAUUGAAUUGGUCCUUUCUCUUUUUGUCAACUCUUAGUAAAAACGGCUCAGACUCAUUCCUCUCAAUUUAUUGGAGAAUCUUGAGGACCUCAAUUUAUCCCCUCAAUUUUUCCCUGGCUUUGGAUCCGUUGAUCCUGAUUAUUGAUAUGCAUUACAUUGCUGAUAAGUAUGCGCUGACUGCUUGCUAUUUCCACACACUGGCACGUAAUUGUCACUAACUCUAGGAUUCGAACAUUCACUAGUAUAAUCACCAAUCUGUCUGCAACAGAAACAACAAAGUGAUCUUUUUGUACAUCUAUUAAGCAUAUUGGAUGUCUCUACUAGUAUAUACCUACUAAGCUUGUUCCAUGUAGGAUUAGAAAAUGAUCUUGGUCAUCCCGUCCGUACGGAGGAUACUUGGUUUGAUGACGUCGAUGGAGCAUGCAUUAUUGUCAUGUUCGGUGGUACAGCUUGUAAUGGCAUGACAUUAAUUGGCCCCUCAAUAUUGGCACUGGAAUUGGCCACUGUUUUUAACAUCCAAGAUGACUAAAUAUUAAUAAAUCUUUUCUAUUUAUAUUUUCAUCAUAUAGUCAUGUUGCAACACGAUAAUGCAUAAAAUUGCUUUCACAUGGUGGUAUGUGGAUUAGAAAGAAAUUCCAGUUGAAGUUUGUGAGCAUCGAAUUAUAUUGGAAGAGAACGCUACACCAAUACGCCAAAGACAACAUCGACUUAAUUCAAAAUACUCACUUAUAGUAAAAGAAGAGCUGGAUAAAUUCUUGGAGGUUGCAUUUAUUUAUCCAAUUCCUUUCAAUAAAUGGGUUUCACUAAUUGUUGUGGUACCAAAAAAGAAUGGAAAAGUUUGCAUCUAUCAAGAUUUAAAAAAAUUAAAUGCAGCUACUAAAAAGGAUUAUUUUCCUUUAUCAUUCACAGAUAGUAUAUUGGAUGCUGUCACUGGACAUGAAUGUUAUCCAUUUCUUGAUGGAUUCUUUGGUUAAAAUCAAGUUAAGGUUGCAAAAGAAGACUAGUUAAAAACUACUUUUACUACGGAUUAGGAGACCUUUGCCUAUAAGGUUAUGCUGUUUGGGCUUUGUAAUGUACUAGCCUCGAGAAAUAGACAAAAAUAUUAUAUAUUGGUAGCAACGGAUUACAUAACAAAAUAGGCUGAAGCCGUAGCUACGAAAACCAUACAGUAGUAAAUUUUUUGUAUGAAAAUAUUAUUAUUCCGUUUCGUUGACAACGAGAAUUUGUUAGUGAUCGAGGAACUCAUUUUAUAAAUAGUACAAUCAAAGCACUUAUGGCUAAAUACAAAAUAAAACAUCGUAAGAUUAUACCGUAUCAUCCUAGAGCCAAUGGACAAACAAAAAAGACUAAUAAAAUUUUAUAUAAAAUCUUAACAAAAAUAGUUUCAAGAGUGGAAACAGAUUGGGACACUAAAUUGUUCGCAGCUUUAUAGGCAUACCGUAUUGCAUAUAAAGUUACUACCAAUGCUAUCCCUUUUCAAUUGGUUUAUGGCCAAGAAGCAAUACUACCUAUUAAAUUGGAAGUCCAAAGUUUACGAAUUGCUAUAGAUACUAGAUUGGGAGAUCAGGAUUCAUUACGGCACUGUUUAGAAGAAUUGGAAAAAUUAGAUGAAACUAAAGCCAAUGCAUUAAUGAUAAUGGAAACUACCUAAAAAAAAAAGAAGACUUAUUAUGAUAGUAAGCUUAGACCAAAGGCUUUUAUGCCAAAUGAUUUGGUACUUCUUUAUGAUAGUAAAUUUAAAAAUUUUCUAGGAAAAUUUCAAGUUCAAUGACAUAGGCCAUAUCGAGUUAUUGAUGGAUUUCCAAAUGGUUCAGUACAAUUGGAAGUUUUUAUGGAUACUAAAUUUAUGACAUGGAUCAAUGGCAAUCAGCUUAAACUUUACUAUACAUAAACUCGGGACGGGUUUUUUGUUACAAAAGGGGGAGUCAAUUCAAUUGAUUCGACCAUAGUAAGAAGUAGGAGGGGAGCUCUUGACAAGCAUCGUGUUUUCUUUUGUGGUUAACGAGAAGAUGGCAAACAUGGUGUCUGAGAAAGUAAGGUUGGAGAUUGAUUGGAAGGAAUGGCAAGAACGACUGCAGGUAGAGGUUGCGUUGUCGGGGUAGAGGGAGUUUGCCUCAAAAAAACGUUGGGCUUCUGGCUAUCACUAAUUAUUCAAUCAAGCUUGAAAAUAAGAGAAGCCCUAAGUUUAUAUAUAAUUUUUCUCUUUUUGAGUAAUUACACCAAAUACACAAUCCUCAAGUAACCCACAACUUCCAAAAUAUGAUAAAAUCUUCUAAAUCCUUAUUUAUUCUUAUGUGGAGAUUUUCCCGAAUUUCAACACCUCAUAUCUCUUAAUCCGACCGUCCAAAAAUACUCUAAUUUUACAUGAGGUACUGAUGUAUUCUUAUUAACUUUUACAAAAAAUUUCAACUGCAAAUUCAUUGCAGAUCUUGAGAUAUCUUGAAAUUCCUAACAGCCGCUUCAAACCCUUGUCUUUUUACAUCUGCGUGCAAUUUUCUUCAUAUCUCACAAAAUAUAAGCUCAAAUGCCACGAAAUUUAUAUGUAUAGCUUUUUAACACAAAAUUUUACAUUCUCCAAAAAGUUUGAGCCAAAAAUUUGUUCGAAAACUCAAGUUAUGGCUUCAACCAUUACUACAAACAAACCCGCUUACUUACUGCUUUUGAUUUGGAAGUGUCGCCUUCAACUCCUUACAACUCCUUCAUAUGAACUCCAAAAGCAAUAAUUCUUUCAUUAAAGAUGUAGGCCUUGAAAUCGCCGUUCCAGUUGCACCUUUCGAUCUUCAAAAGCUGCUGUAAAACUCCUCAUACUCUCAAAAGAGUAACAGUAUGUCUUAAAUAAACACCUUAACUUCAAACGGUUAUAACUUUUUCACCUUAAUUCCAAAUCCUCUAAUUUUUGUACACAAAUUGUUCUCCAAAUUAUAAACUUUACAACCUUAACUUCUAAUUUCCAAAUUCUUCCUUUAAAGUCGCCAAAACCCUUCUUAAGGUCGCGGGCAGCCUUCUCAAAGUCCAUUGGGCAUGGUAUUCGACCAAUAGGGAUGAAGUUCCCCAUUCCUUGCCUUCAUCCGACCAUGCCUUGCUUUCAUCCCUCCCAAUUAGCUUCCUACUAGUUUAGAUUUUCAUCCUUAGGUUUCCACCUUUUUCCAAGGUUUCAUACUAAACAUUUAGGUCAUAUAUAUAUAUAUAUAUAUAUAUAUAUAUUAAUGUCAAAAUCAAAAGAAAUAAAGAAACAAAAUAAAGUUUUUUAUACCAACUCCUUUUAAUUUAAUCUACUAGCCACUCUAACAUACAUCUAGAUUUAUCAACAUAUAAUAUGUUUUAGCUAAUUUUUACAUACUGUAAGCAUUUACAGUAUGACAACGUUGUUGCAGACUAAACUAGCUGGAUUAUCGAAGGAGGCUAAUAAUUUAGUGCAGACCAAUAUGCCAGUUUUAGCGACAACACCUUUGGAGAUACCUUUGAAAUCGACAGAAGAAUGGCAGAAGAUGUUGGAGGAGCGUGACAACCAAAUUGCCCGACAUGAGUCUCAGGUACAUGAAUUGGGUUUGUUGAAUGAAGAUCUGACGAUGUGUUUGGAUGGACAACCCUCGAACACUGAGGUAGAUGACGAAGAUGUAAAGAGGAGACGGUCAUCAAUUCAAAGGGUGGUAAGCCAACGCCAUUGAUUGAAGAAGCCAAUGCUGCUAUGUCUUUAUAAACUGAGGCUAAAUAAUGUUUGUGAGGAUGCUGCACAGAUACGUGUAGGGCUAUCUAGAAUAGGUAAAUAAACUUUGUGGUAACUUACUGGUUGGUUAUUGAUAACCUUAAGAAUUAGACUGAUGGUUAGGCAGUUUAGUUAGUAACAAUAGGUUGUUAGUUGAAUAAAUGGUUAAGAAUUCAAAGGGUCAUAACCUUUGGAAUCCGGUGGCUGACGGAUCAUCUUUUUGGUAGGAUAAAAAGGUUAAGGAAAGAGAGAACGGGGCCAGACUAUGAGAGUUGUAAGCUGAGAGCCAGACUGUGAGAGUCGUAAGCCGGGGCAAGCUUGGUGCUACCUCUUUUUGUUUCUUUGUUGUUGACGAGUAAUGGAUACUUUCUGAAUACUGAGAAGUUAUUUUGAAGUGCCAGACUGUGAAAGUCAUAAUUUCGUCUAAUGAAUUGAGAAACUGAAUACAAUAGGUAAGCUGGAGAUCAGUAAUUGAAUAUAUCUAAACCACAAAGAGAGUAAAUGGGAGAUGAACGGAUAAGAAUAUGGAAGUAUUAUUGAAUUGAUAGUCGUAGAAUGGAUUAUGGAUUGAAUUAAGAUGGAAGUAAUAAGCCUUGGUGUUUUGUAGUUUGAUAAUUGAUUUCAGAUUGCUAGAGUACAAUCAAUUGUGACACUAACAGACCCAAUUCAUAUAACCAGUCUUUCCCCGUGUUUGAACCCACCUCUAUUAGUUCAAUUGCUUUGGUAUAUU
rnacentral:lncRNA from 1 species